UGGAGGAAAGUAGGGGAUCGUAAGACCUUGCGCUUUUGGAGCGGCCGAUGUCUGAUUAGCUAGUUGGUGGGGUAAUGGCCUACCAAAGCUUCGAUCAGUAGCUGGUCUGAGAGGACGGCCAGCCACACUGGGACUGAGACACGGCCCAGACUCCUACGGGAGGCAGCAGUGGGGAAUUUUGGACAAUGGGCGCAAGCCUGAUCCAGCCAUGCCGCGUGAGUGAAGAAGGCCUUCGGGUUGUAAAGCUCUUUCAGCCGGGAAGAAAAGGCUGCGACUAAUAAUCGCAGUUCAUGACGGUACCGGAAGAAGAAGCACCGGCUAACUACGUGCCAGCAGCCGCGGUAAUACGUAGGGUGCGAGCGUUAAUCGGAAUUACUGGGCGUAAAGGGUGCGCAGGCGGUUUUGUAAGUCAGAUGUGAAAUCCCCGGGCUUA
rnacentral:rRNA from 1 species